GGUUGCGAUCAUACCAGCACUAAUGCACCGGAUCCCAUCAGAACUCCGCAGUUAAGCGUGCUUGGGCGAGAGUAGUACUAGGAUGGGUGACCCCCUCGGAAGUCCUCGUGUUGCAACCCC
rnacentral:rRNA from 1 species